rnacentral:rRNA from 1 species
UACGUAGGGUGCAAGCGUUAAUCGGAAUUACUGGGCGUAAAGCGUGCGCAGGCGGUUAUGUAAGACAGUUGUGAAAAAUCCCCGGGGCUUAACCUGGGGAACUGCAUUUUGUGACUGCAUGGCUGAGUGCGGGCAAAAGGGGAUGGAAUUCCGCGUGUAGCAGUGAAAAUGCGUAGAUAUUUGGGGAGGGAAACACCGGGUGGCGAAAGGCGGGCCCUGGGCCCUGGCCACUGACGCUCAUGC